rnacentral:rRNA from 1 species
UACAGAGGUCCCAAGCGUUGUUCGGAUUCACUGGGCGUAAAGGGUGCGUAGGCGGUCGGGUAAGUCUGACGUGAAAUCUUCAAGCUCAACUUGGAAACUGCGUCGGAUACUAUUCGGCUAGAGGAAUGGAGGGGAGACUGGAAUACUUGGUGUAGCAGUGAAAUGCGUAGAUAUCAAGUGGAACACCAGUGGCGAAGGCGAGUCUCUGGACAUUUCCUGACGCUGAGGCACGAAAGCCAGGGGAGCAAACGGGAUUAGAUACCCUCGUAGUCC